GUAGUAGUAGUAGUAGUAAUAUUGUAUCACGGUAUUUUAUAAUAGAGCCUCAACUUAUACUAGUCUUGCCUGAAAAUCUCUCGUUUUCUAUCAUUCUCCCAUCCUGCAGGCCUGAGCCCAGAUAAAUGUAAACAAACGCAGUCAGACUUGAUAUACGGGUGAAUUUGUUGCUUUUUAGAGCGGCAGUGGAUCUCUACAUGGGUGAGGUGGCGAGGGGCGGUGGCCAGGGGGCGGCUAGCAGCGUGUGCCACCAGGGAAAUGUGUAUGAACAUAAAAAAAAGGCGCCCGUCAAGAAAGGCACAGAUGCAGGGUGGUGAGGCAGUGUUCAUCCCAGGGGCACACCACACAGGGGUCAGCAACACAGGUGGUGGUGGAGAGGCACCUGUGGGACGCCCAGGGAAACACCAAACACGACCUUGACAGACAGAAGAGUUUAUUGAUGAAGUGUGGAAGAAGAGGAGGAAGGAACAAUGAUAUUCGACCAGCUGCGGCAUCUGGGGGCUUCACUUGACUGGGACAGCUGGGACAUGGAUGCAGCGAGAGACUGGCCUGUGUGUCUGUCUGUACAUCCUGACGGAAGCGUUUGUCCAUCCGUACGAUGCUGGGCUGGUGUACCGCAAGGAGGCUCUCGUCAACUGGUGCUGCAGCCUUCAGUCGGCCAUCUUGGACAUUGAAGUGGACCACCUGCACCUGACAGGACCCACGGAGCUGGCAGUCCCAGGGUACAGCAAACCGGUCAGCUUCGGAAAGAUGUGGGACUUCCCUUACAGACUGGCAGACUCAGCCAUGGGUGCCUUGCCUCCUCGCACCACCACCACAAGCACCACCACUCCUGCCAUCACCUACAAGGGGGAGACUGUGAUGUGGCUGCAGGUGGAUAGGUUCGGAGGCCUCCAGAGAGCUGCCCAGAGUGAAGCUUGUGGUAUAGAGGGACAGCUGCUGAUCAUCAAGCUUAUGGAGUGACUGGAAGAAAGUGGGAGGAGCCUGGAAGGAGUGGUGGAGGUACAGUACUUGGAGAAAAUCUCUCCGCCAUGAUGACUGGGUGUCUGCUGUACAGGCCACUGACCAAUGGUGAAAGAGGGAGAGAGACUGGCUAAUGGUGGAUGAGAGAGAGAGAGAGAGAGAGAGAGAGAGAGAGAGAGAGAGAGAGAGAGAGAGAGAGAGUGUUGAUAAAUAAUAUUGGGCACAGGCUUCACCACUGGGUCGACUGUGAGGGCCGCAUUCUUCUGCUAGGGAAGUAAUGGCUGGUUGGUGGCCGCGGCUGUUCACACACUCUUUCUUGCUGCGGCUGGCAUGCUGUUCUGUCCUCUCUUGUUCCAGGAAUUGCUGUCUGAGGUGUGUGUGUAUGUGUGUGUGUGUGUAGAAGCCACCAUCAUCAUCCACAGCAGGUGAUAAUGAUGCUUCCUGCUUUCAUCGUCAUUGGGGCUAGCCAGACCAACUUGGGGCUGUACUGGGGUGACGCUGUAUGCCUCAGGUGGGUCUGGAGGGCUGAGAUAGUGAGAAGAUUACCUUGUUCAUGUGCAGUCUUGCUAUGUGGGCGAUGAACACCUCUGGGACAUGACGAGCAGAUGCCCAUCCAGCACAGCUCAACUUGUAUGGAAUCUGGACCUGGACCAUCACAUGAAUGCCACUGCCUUUGAUAUGUGUUUGAUAUGGCUUCUAUUGCUUUCAAGUCACCAUCUGCCUCUGUGAAAUAUGGAAGAUCUUACAAGCUCAAGCAUAAGUAUUAAGCAAGUGAUAGGAAUGGUGAUAUGAGUGUGGUGUGUCUGAAUUAGCUGUCAGAGUAUUGUAAAUAUUAUUACUUAGUCUUCCCAGUUAAUGAAAUUAAGAACAGUUGUGAAGUUUGCUUUAAAACCCUUCAUUAACUUUGCCACAAAACACUUUUACAUGUUGUCAAAAGUGUGUAACUGUUAUGAAGUGUGUGUAUAUAUCAUUACUACAGAAGAAUCUGGAAUUUCCCCUCAGAUUACUUUAAUGAAUGAAGCUUGAGUUCACAGA